GCCUAGGAAUCUGCCUGGUAGUGGGGGAUAACGCUCGGAAACGGACGCUAAUACCGCAUACGUCCUACGGGAGAAAGCAGGGGACCUUCGGGCCUUGCGCUAUCAGAUGAGCCUAGGUCGGAUUAGCUAGUUGGUGGGGUAAUGGCUCACCAAGGCGACGAUCCGUAACUGGUCUGAGAGGAUGAUCAGUCACACUGGAACUGAGACACGGUCCAGACUCCUACGGGAGGCAGCAGUGGGGAAUAUUGGACAAUGGGCGAAAGCCUGAUCCAGCCAUGCCGCGUGUGUGAAGAAGGUCUUCGGAUUGUAAAGCACUUUAAGUUGGGAGGAAGGGCAUUAACCUAAUACGUUAGUGUUUUGACGUUACCGACAGAAUAAGCACCGGCUAACUCUGUGCCAGCAGCCGCGGUAAUACAGAGGGUGCAAGCGUUAAUCGGAAUUACUGGGCGUAAAGCGCGCGUAGGUGGUUCGUUAAGUUGGAUGUGAAAUCCCCGGGCUCAACCUGGGAACUGCAUUCAAAACUGUCGAGCUAGAGUAUGGUAGAGGGUGGUGGAAUUUCCUGUGUAGCGGUGAAAUGCGUAGAUAUAGGAAGGAACACCAGUGGCGAAGGCGACCACCUGGACUGAUAC
rnacentral:rRNA from 1 species